rnacentral:rRNA from 1 species
UGAGGCCUUCGGACUGGCCCAGGGAGGUCGGCAACGACCACCCAGGGCCGGAAAGUUGGUCAAACUCGGUCAUUUAGAGGAAGUAAAAGUCGUAACAAGGUUUCCGUAGAACAAGUCUGCGUUGGACAAUGGUCCUUCCGUAGUGUACACUUGCCGAAGCCUUAGCGGGUCCAAAAGACCGGUCGCGACUCUAAACACAGACCCCUCUAUGGAGAGGCGCUAGUCGGAACAUCGGGUUCUGGCGACACUGUCGAAUUGCGGGGAUACCCUAAAGGGAGUCAGUACGAACCCCCGGGCGAAAGUCCGAGGCUGCUGGAGCUAACAACUCUAGGAAUCGUAAAAAGCUGGCUCCAUGAUGUUCGGCGACGGACAGAAAUGGGCAAUCCGCAGCCAAGGGCCUAAAGAUGCAGCUCGCAUCCAUGGUCAAGGUUCACAGACUAAGUGGCAGUGGGUGCUGACAUCAUGUUCAGUGCUUAAGAUAUAGUCGGGCCACCGGGGAAACUCGGUGGGUGAGUACAUUACAACCCUUUCAACCGUUCCGUAGGUGAACCUGCGGAAGGAUCAUUA